rnacentral:rRNA from 1 species
UACGUAGGGUGCGAGCGUUGUCCGGAAUUAUUGGGCGUAAAGAGCUCGUAGGCGGUGUGUCGCGUCGGCCGUGAAAACCUGCAGCUUAACUGUGGGCUUGCGGUCGAUACGGGCAUCACUGGAGUUCGGCAGGGGAGACUGGAAUUCCUGGUGUAGCGGUGAAAUGCGCAGAUAUCAGGAGGAACACCGGUGGCGAAGGCGAGUCUCUGGGCCGAUACUGACGCUGAGGAGCGAAAGCGUGGGGAGCGAACAGG